rnacentral:lncRNA from 1 species
CUGCCCACGUGGCAGACUCUUGCCCUGGUCUCAGAUUCCCGGCCCUGGCCCCCGGCCUGAUUUACUCCUGUAGCUCCGCCUGACUAGUGACACCGCCUCUGCUCAGCUCCCAUAUCACCUCCUUGAUGACAUCUCAGGUCCCAGGCACAGGGAUCAAACUCUGGACCUUGUGCUAUGCAGGCAGGAGCUGGAACCACUGAGCUUACAGAGUAUUUUAAAUGCAUGGCAGCUUGGCUUUUAUUUUGAAGAGUCUAAAUAUGAAGAGAUGAUCUCGACCUUAGAAACUAUCCAGACCUUGUAAGAGAGAUCCAAGGACAUAUCCAGAACUUAAAUAUAUUCUUGAAUACUUGGAAAAGAAACAUGAACAAGAUCCAAACAGGUGAUACAGGUUAAGGAAGUGAAUCACAAGCUAUAUAAAAUUGAGGUAAACUGGAAAACUCAAAGGAAAGUACUGUAUCUACUCCCAGCCGCCCAGAACAAAAGAUCACAUUAAAAAAUCCAUGGUGUGAAUUCCCUCCUUGGGCCAGAAGGGAGGAGAGAUGGGUUUCCCUGCAAGUCUGCCGACUGCACCCUGCCCUCCCUGAUGUAGCAGAGCUCCUCAGUGCAGAAGCAGAUACAAGUGCGUUCCUCGGACCCUGAGGCCCAGCCCCAAACCUGCUCUCAGCAGGCCGAGUGGAGCCAUGAUGGGCCCCUGUGGACAUACACCUGCAGGGAGCGGGCUCCUCCCG